rfam:Apaloderma vittatum contig72068, whole genome shotgun sequence.
GGCCGGUUAGCUCAGUGGUUUGAGCAUGGUGCUGACAACAAUGACAACACUGAGGUCGCGGGUUCUAUUCCCGCUCGGUCC